rnacentral:rRNA from 1 species
AGAGUUUGAUCCUGGCUCAGGAUGAACGCUAGCGGCAGGCCUAACACAUGCAAGUCGAGGGGUAACAGGAAAAGCUUGUUUUUCGCUGACGACCGGCGCACGGGUGCGUAACGCGUAUACAAUCUACCUCUAACUGGAAGAUAGCCCCGAGAAAUCGGGAUUAAUACUCCAUAAUAUAAUUCCUUCGCAUGUUGGAAUUAUUAAAGCUCCGGCGGUUAGAGAUGAGUAUGCGUCCCAUUAGUUUGUUGGUGAGGUAACGGCUCACCAAGACUACGAUGGGUAGGGGGCCUGAGAGGGUGAACCCCCACACUGGUACUGAGACACGGACCAGACUCCUACGGGAGGCAGCAGUGAGGAAUAUUGGUCAAUGGACGCAAGUCUGAACCAGCCAUGCCGCGUGAAGGAUGAAGGCGCUACGCGUCGUAAACUUCUUUUAUUUGGGAAGAAACCCCUGGACGUGUCCAGGGCUGACGGUACCAAACGAAUAAGGACCGGCUAACUCCGUGCCAGCAGCCGCGGUAAUACGGAGGGUCCAAGCGUUAUCCGGAAUUAUUGGGUUUAAAGGGUCCGUAGGCGGGAAAUUAAGUCAGUGGUGAAAUCCUACAGCUCAACUGUGGAACUGCCAUUGAAACUGGUUUUCUUGAAUUUAGUCGAAGUGGGCGGAAUGUGUCAUGUAGCGGUGAAAUGCAUAGAUAUGACACAGAACACCGAUUGCGAAGGCAGCUCACUAGCCUAAUAUUGACGCUGAGGCACGAAAGCGUGGGUAGCGAACAGGAUUAGAUACCCUGGUAGUCCACGCCGUAAACGAUGAUCACUCGACAUUGGCGAUAAACUGUCAGUGUCCAAGCGAAAGUGUUAAGUGAUCCACCUGGGGAGUACGAUCGCAAGGUUGAAACUCAAAGGAAUUGACGGGGGCCCGCACAAGCGGUGGAGCAUGUGGUUUAAUUCGAUGAUACGCGAGGAACCUUACCAGGGCUUAAAUGCAGAAUGACCGCUUGGGAAACCAAGCUUUCUUCGGACAAUUUGCAAGGUGCUGCAUGGCCGUCGUCAGCUCGUGCCGUGAGGUGUCGGGUUAAGUCCCAUAACGAGCGCAACCCCUAUCUUUAGUUGCCAGCGAGUAAUGUCGGGGACUCUAAAGAAACUGCCCGUGUAAGCGGAGAGGAAGGUGGGGAUGAUGUCAGGUCAUCACGGCCCUUACGUCCUGGGCUACACACGUGCUACAAUGGCGCAUACAAAGGGCAGCUACCUGGUGACAGGAUGCUAAUCUCUAAAGUGCGUCUCAGUUCGGAUCGAAGUCUGCAACUCGACUUCGUGAAGCUGGAAUCGCUAGUAAUCGGAUAUCAGCCAUGAUCCGGUGAAUACGUUCCCGGGCCUUGUACACACCGCCCGUCAAGCCAUGGAAGCUGGGGGUACCUGAAGUUCGUCACCGUAAGGAGCGGCCUAGGGUAAAACUAGUAACUGGGGCUAAGUCGUAACAAGGUAACC